UGAGUCUGCAUUACUGCAUCGGCAAAGUCCAACUGCAGUGGGCUCUCAGGGCAUCAGGUCUUCACCAAAGUAGGAGAAACCUUUGAAUUCCUCCUGGUUGAUCUGCUUUACAAUUGCUUCGUCCACAAGGGCCUCUAGCUACCAACAGACAGCAGACACGGGGCUGUCCCGAUGAGGUAACGAUGGAUGGCCCCAGGACCCGGAGGUGAGAGACGAGGAGAGGAAGAAUGAGUCAAGCAACUGCUGUAACCUACUGGCUCCAUUACAACAUUCCUCCCUGUGACCCAGGGAACAGAUCUGAAUCCCCUCUCAGAGGUCCUUCUUCCCCAUAACCCGGCCACAUCUGCUCCAGGUGACAUCCUCUCCACAAGCCUGCCUCGAUUUCCACUUACUCUCACCACGAACCCAAUUUUGUGCUCCAGUAUUUUUUCAAUUAUUAAACUCAGCACAUUGACUUGCAAUGACGUUUUUAUGCUUUUGUCUAGACCAAGAGCUUCUUAAAGGCAGAGACCUUGUCUUGUUCAACUUUGAGUUCCCAGCAGUUCCCCAGCAAUAAGUGUCUACUGAAUGAAAUAAGUAAACUCACCACUGACUCCCCAGCUCUGAAGGACCCAUACCUCUGGGUUGA
rnacentral:lncRNA from 1 species